rnacentral:tRNA from 1 species
CGGAGUAUAGCCAAGCGGUUACGGCGGUGGUUUUUGAUACCAUGACACAGAGGUUCGAAUCCUCUUACUCCAA